GUUGGUUUGUUUUGGCAAGCCCAACCCAAAUCUUUUUUCAGUGUCUGGUGCUUGAGAAUGUGUCUGCCUUGGCUGAUAUUUAUGUUCUGGUUGUAGUUUCAGUUGGCUCCAAAAUGUCCCGCAGCUGAGUGACAGUGAGGAGAGUGAUGACAACCAGGUUGUUGAAAAGCCACCUUCUCCACUUGCUCCUCCAAGAUACAGUUUCAGUUGGCUCCCGAAUGUCCUGCAGCUGAGUGACAGUGAGGAGAGUGAUGACAACCAGGUUGUUGAAAAGCCACCUUCUCCACUUGCUCCUCCAAGAUACAGGUUUGUUCCCAAAC